rnacentral:rRNA from 1 species
UGAACUUAAGCAUAUCAAUAAGCGGAGGAAAAGAAACUAACAAGGAUUCCCCUAGUAACUGCGAGUGAAGUGGGAAAAGCUCAAAUUUAAAAUCUGGUAGUCUUGGACUGCCCGAGUUGUAAUCUAGAGAAGUGCUAUCCGUGCUGGACCAUGUACAAGUCUCCUGGAAUGGAGCAUCAUAGAGGGUGAGAAUCCCGUCUUUGACAUGGACUACCAGGGCUUUGUGAUGUGCUCUCAAAGAGUCGAGUUGUUUGGGAAUGCAGCUCUAAAUGGGUGGUAAAUUCCAUUUAAAGCUAAAUAUUGGCGAGAGACCGAUAGCGGACAAGUACCGUGAGGGAAAGAUGAAAAGAACUUUGGAAAGAGAGUUAAACAGUACGUGAAAUUGUUGAAAGGGAAACGCUUGAAGUCAGUCAUGUUGGCCAGGGAUCAACCUUGCUUUUUGCUUGGUGUACUUUCUGGUUGAUGGGUCAGCAUCAAUUUUGACCAGUGGAAAAAGACUAGGGGAAUGUGGCAUCUUUGGAUGUGUUAUAGCCUUUGGUUGUAUACAUUGGUUGGGAUUGAGGAACUCAGCACGCCGCAAGGCCGGGUUUUUACCACGUUCGUGCUUAGGAUGCUGGCAUAAU